rnacentral:rRNA from 1 species
GACGAACGCUGGCGGCGCGCUUAACACAUGCAAGUCGAGCGAAGCGGCGGACGGGUGAGUAACACGUGAGUAACCUACCUUAGACAUUGGGAUAGCCUCGGGAAAACGGGAUUACUACAAAAUGGUCUAAGAUGGACUCGCGUCCCAUUAGCGGGUUGGUGAGGUAACGGCCCACCAACGCGACGACGGGUAGCCGGCCUGAGAGGGUGAACGGCGACAUUGAAGCUGAGCAGCGGUCCAAACUCUGCGGGAGGCAGCAGUGGGGAAUAUUGCACAGUGGCGGGAACUCUGAUGCAGCGACGCCGCGUAAACGAUGAAGGCUUUCGAGUCGUAAAGUUCUUUUAUAUGGGAAGCGGUACCAUAAGAAAAAGCCCCGGCUAACUACGUGCCAGCAGCCGCGGUAAUAC